rnacentral:misc_RNA from 1 species
AAGUCGUAACAAGGUUUCCGUAGGUGAACCUGCGGAAGGAUCAUUAUUGAAUCAGGAGGCCCCCCCGUGGGGGGGUCUCUUAAUCCACUUUCACAUGUGCACCGUGGCCCCACGACAUUGUUGUCGUCGCCUUUUACAAAACUCUUAAUUGUAUCAGAAUGUUUUUAAAAAUGUCUUAAAAAUACAACUUUUAACAACGGAUCUCUUGGCUCUC